ACCGGCCUCAUGUGACGGAACGACAUCAACUUAGAACAAGAAGGUGCCCCUUGUGUGAUGGACCUGGUUUACUUCAUAUCAUCUGGAAACAAUUCAAUCUGGUCUUGGCCAAGAAGCCAUCCAUGAAGAUAAACACUGAGACCUGAGCCAUAUAAUCAACCAAUACCUCAUUGUGAUGUACCGGGAAUGCAUCUUUCUGAUUAGCUCUGCUCGCAUCUUGAUAGUCUAUUCACACCUUCUCUCUUUCUCAUCCUUUGUCGGCCUCAGCUUUUGCUUUCUAACCUCGGCGGAGCUUGGAGUAACAAUCUUGAAUCGCUCCUCGUGCGGUUGAAUCACCUUCUCCUCUUGUUUCAAUGACCUGGCUAAUUCCAGCAAAUCACAAUCUUCUUCGCCUUUUUUCUCUGGCAUGAUAGGUCGAAUUGUCGAAGUCAUACAGAGGUGUAACCAAAUCGUUAUCGGUGAGAUCAGGAGAGUAAUCACUUUGGAACGAGACAAAAUCAAAAGGAAAGAGAAUAA
rnacentral:lncRNA from 1 species